rnacentral:SRP_RNA from 2 species
UAGCGCAGCCGGGGAAUUAGCGGCUCCCUGUACCUACAAUCCGCUAUAGUGGGGGUGAUGUCCUGCCGAGGGUUCAGACUUGUGUAGCUGCCCUUCGCAAGUGGCGUUGAUAUCUGGGUCUUACGCAAUGGAAAUCCGUGAACCGUGUCAGGUCGGGAACGAAGCAGCACUAAGCGGAAUCUUUCAUGUGCCGUGAGGGUGCCUGGGUUGAGUUAACUGCGAAGGUAACGUAUGUGGGAAUGAAUUCGAAGCAGGACGCGCUA